AGAAGGCAGAAGGAGGAAAAUAAAGAACUGAGGAGGAGACAGGCUCCGGCUAUAUGACUGCCCACCAUUUGCUGAGCUUUCCAUGUGGCGGAUGCUCUGGGACCUGGAGAACAAGUGAAGAAGAAAAACCAAAAGCCAAUGGGAAAUGACUUAAUUACAGUCUCAAGUAGUUCCUGCUCAUUCCAGGAAUGCUGGGAGUCCAAUGUGCCCGAGCUGAUCUGCAAGGAGGAGUCCUUGGAUGAUGACCUUCCUGAUUCUGAGCUUGCCAUGGAGCCUUCACCCUCCCAAGACAUGGAAAUCAAAGGAAUCAUGUCCCGCAAAGGCAAAGGCGGUAGCUAUGCCAGGGGCAGACAGAGGGCUUCUAUCAUCAAAGCUGGAAGAGGAAAAGGAGAUCCUCAGCAGGCCACUAGAAAGGAUCUGAGAAAGACCGAAGAAAAGGGGGAUACUCUGCUGGCAAUCCAGGAAGAAAAGGAGAAGGAGAAGGCUCCUUUGCUCCCUCUCCUUCAUGCUUUCCCACUUCCUGCGGUCUCCCAGGAGACAUAGUCAAACCUCCCUAGUUGGGCUUUUCUCACUUUUUGACACCUUUUUUCAGUUGAGCAUUAAAAAAAAGCAAAUUGCUCCCUUGGUGCUUUGGUUUGGUUCUUUCAGGGGGGCUGCUGGGCUGGGGAGGGAGGGGAGGGCAAAGCCCCGAGUUCCUGGGAGUUUCUGUCCUUGAGGACCCAGCAGAGCAGCAAGGGCCCCCCUGGGGCCAGGGGGGGACCAUGUGGCCUGGGCGGAGACCCCAGUGUCUUGGACAGACUCCCCCCUGCCACCCAGUCACCCUGGCCAGCCCCAGCCCCAGAGCCUCUUGGCUAAAGCCCUCAGCAGGGCAGGGGCCUGGGGUUUGGGCCUCAGGGAGCCAGCCUGUGGGCGGGGGCGGGGGGCAGCAAGUCCCAG
rnacentral:lncRNA from 1 species